UACAGAGGGUGCGAGCAUUAAUCGGAAUUACUGGGCGUAAAGCGUGCGUAGACGGUAGCGUAAGUCAGAUGUGAAAGCCCCGGGCUCAACCUGGGAAUUGCAUUUGAGACUGCUCUGCUCGGGUGCGGAAGAGGGAAGCGGAAUUUCCGGUGUAGCGGUGAAAUGCGUAGAUAUCGGAAGGAACACCAGUGGCGAAAGCGGCUUCCUGGUCCGACACCGACGUUCAGGCACGAAAGCGUGGGGAGCAAACAGG
rnacentral:rRNA from 1 species